rnacentral:rRNA from 1 species
CCUACGGGAGGCAGCAGUGGGGAAUAUUGGGCAAUGGGCGAAAGCCUGACCCAGCAACGCCGCGUGAAGGAAGAAGGCUUUCGGGUUGUAAACUUCUUUUGAUAGGGAAGAGGAGAAGACGAUAUCUGUCGAAUAAGCCACGGCUAACUAAGUGCCAGCAGCCGCGGUAAUAAGUAGGUGGCAAGCGUUGUCCGGUUUUACUGGGUGUAAAGGGCGUGUAGGCGGGCGGACAAGUCAGAUGUGAAAUCCGGGGGAUCAACCCCCGAACUGCAUUUGAAACUGUUGGUCGUGAGUAUCGGAGAGGCAGGCGGAAUUCCUAGUGUAGCGGUGAAAUGCGUAGAUAUUAGGAGGAACACCAGUGGCGAAGGCGGCCUGCUGGACGACAACUGACGGUGAGGCGCGAAAGCGUGGGGAGCAAACAGGAUUAGAUACCCUAGUAGUC